rnacentral:rRNA from 1 species
AGCCUGAACGCUGGCGGCGUGGCUAAGACAUGCAAGUCGUACGGUGUAGCAAUACACAGUGGCGAACGGGAGAGUAAUGAAUCGCUAAUGUGCCCCGGACUCUGGGAUAGCCAGUUGAAAGACUGGGUAAUACCAGAUGACAUAUCUUUAUCGCAUGAUAGAGAUCUCAAAGGUCCGCCGGUCUGGGAGCAGGCGAUUUCGUAUCAGCUAGUUGGUGAGGUAACGGCUCACCAAGGCGACGACGCGUAGUCCGGACUGAGAGGUUGGCCGGCCUCAUUGGGACUGAGACACUGCCCAGACUCCUACGGGGGGCUGCAGUAACGAAUCUUCCGCAAUGCACGAAAGUGUGACGGAGCGACGCCGCGUGUGGGACGAAGUCCUUCGGGAUGUAAACCACUGUCAGGGGUUACCAAGUUCUGAGGAACCCCAGAGGAAGGACGGCUAACUCUGCGCCAGCAGCCGCGGU